rnacentral:lncRNA from 1 species
GUUGUUUCAAAAAUCCAGGCAUUCAGAUGGUGCCAAAUGUCUGCUACAAUAUGACAGCCCCACAAUAAGUGCUCUAUGCUUUCUGGUUCUUCCUUGCAAAAUGUACAUAAAUUACACUGUACACGGUUCAUCUUUAAAAGUAAAGUAUUAGUACCUGAAAUACUGUGAAUAAUUCGGUAUUGAAACCAACAGAGCUUGGUAUUUUUUGAAAUUUUAGUGACACAGUUAUGGAUUUUUUUCCAAUCUCCUACAACGUUAUUCAAUAUACCCUCCCAUUUUCGCUCAGCUGCUAUUACAACUGGUAUCAC